rnacentral:lncRNA from 1 species
GACCCGUCAUAAAUAGAUUUGGGUUUAGGCAAAAUGGGUUUGGAUCAUAAAUGAGUCGACCCAUUUAACCCGUUUAAUAAGUGGAUCGAAUAUGGGUUUUAGAUAUCUGGCCCGUUUAACUCGUUUAACCCAUUUAAUAUUUAGGCUGGGUUGAGUCAGAUAACCCAUUUAACUUGUUUAACCUAUUUAACCUAUUUCUGACCCAUUUAAUCCG